AGCAGCCGCGGUAAUUCCAGCUCCAAUAGCGUAUAUUAAAGUUGUUGCAGUUAAAAAGCUCGUAGUUGAAUUUCGGGGUCAGUAGGUUGGUCGUGCCACUGGUACGUACUGGUCUCACUGAUUCCUCCUUCCUGAUGAACCGUAAUGCCAUUAAUUUGGUGUUGCGGGGAAACUGGACUGUUACUUUGAAAAAUUAGAGUGUUUAAAGCAGGCUAACGCUUGAAUACAUUAGCAUGGAAUAAUGAAAUAGGACGUUCGAUCCUAUUUUGUUGGUUUUCUAGGAUUGACGUAAUGAUUAAUAGGGAUAGUUGGGGGCAUUAGUAUUCAAUUGUCAGAGGUGAAAUUCUUGGAUUUAUUGAAGACUAACUACUGCGAAAGCAUUUGCCAAGGAUGUUUUCAUUAAUCAAGAACGAAAGUUAGGGGAUCGAAGACGAUCAGAUACCGUCGUAGUCUUAACCAUAAACUAUGCCGACUAGGGAUCGGAUGAUGUUAAUUUUUUAAUGUACUCAA
rnacentral:rRNA from 1 species